UACGAAGGGGGCUAGCGUUGUUCGGAAUUACUGGGCGUAAAGCGUGCGUAGGUGGUGAGUUAAGUCUGUCGUGAAAGCCCCGGGCUCAACCUGGGAAUGGCGAUGGAUACUGGCUCGCUAGAGUGCGGUAGAGGAGAGUGGAAUUCCCGGUGUAGCAGUGAAAUGCGUAGAGAUCGGGAGGAACAUCUGUGGCGAAGGCGGCCAUCUGGACCAGCACUGACACUGAGGCACGAAAGCGUGGGGAGCAAACAGG
rnacentral:rRNA from 1 species